AACUCUUAUUAAAACCCGUAUCAUUUCCCCUUAAAAAGAUAUUUCAGGAACGGAGGAAGUAUCAAAUGAUAGUGAGCAGUCAAUAUACAAUUUAUUACCACAUUAUAAAACAAGUGGUCUAUGCCUACAUACACAAAUUAUAUAAAAAAGUUGUUUAAAGUAAAUUGAAGUUGACAAAAAAAAUGUAAAUUGAAGUAACUGCCAUAUACAGCUGCCAAAAGAUAAAUGUAACAAUUACUCCAUAUGCAAUCAAAAGCACGCCCAAAUGCUUGAAAUGCCGUAAAAGUCCUUUGAAGAAACUUGUAAGUUUCCACAAAAGCUAAGGUAUAUAGCAAGAGUAAAGUGAUAGUAGAACAAGCAACUAUUAUGCAACAACAGCUACAACCAUACAAAUACAGACCAAAUAGCUAAAUAAGCAAAUUUGUAGAGAGUAUCACAAAACAAACCCAUGAAAGUGCAUUUUCCACGCAGUAAUCAUAGCAAGAAGGCGGCCUUUGUACACAUGGAGAAUGCAGAGGUUGUCUCGUGUCUGUCGAUUAGAAGUCAGUUGGUGGUUUCAAUCGUAUAAGUCUCUUGAUUCUGUCUUUGUCUGUGUUCUCCAACAAACCCUUCAGA